rnacentral:rRNA from 1 species
UCGCGAAAACUUUGCAAUAAGCGAAAGCUUGACAGGGCUAUCCCGAGUGCCAUCCGCUGAGGAAGGCUUUUACCCAGUCUAGAACGCUGGGGGAAUAAGGAGAGGGCAAGUCUGGUGUCAGCCGCCGCGGUAAUACCAGCUCUCCGAGUGGUGUGGAUGUUUAUUGGGCCUAAAGCAUCCGUAGCUGGCUAAGUUAGUCCCUUGUUAAAUCCACCAAAUUAAUUGUUGGAUUGCGGGGGAUACUGCUUGGCUAGGGGACGAGAGAGGCAGACGGUAUUUUCGGGGUAGGGGUGAAAUCCUAUAAUCCCGGGAAGACCACCAGUGGCGAAGGCUGUCUGCUAGAACGCGCCCGACGGUGAGGGAUGAAAGCUGGGGGA